GUGCUUGAUUCAGUAGCACACAUACUAAAAAUGGAACAAUACAGAGAAGACUCACAUGGCCCCUGCACAAAGAUGACAAUCAGAUUUGUGAAACAUUCCAUAUUUUU